rnacentral:misc_RNA from 1 species
AUGUUCUGGAUGUUUAUUUAAGCAUGAAAGGAUUUGGGAUAUCUUUAUGCGCAGAUCAUUGUAAAAGAGAAGGGUAUCUUCACCAAUGUGACAUCACCAUCUUCCAAAGCCAAGUUGAGAUUGUUAUUUGAGGUGGCUCCUUUGGGAUUCUUGAUUGAGAAAGCUGGAGGCUACAGUAGUGAUGGCGUUCAGUCUGUGUUAGACAAGGAGAUAAAAAAUCUCGACGACAGAACUCAAGUUGCUUAUGGAUCCAAGAAUGAGAUUAUCCGGUUUGAAGAAAUUCUAUAUGGGAAAUCAAGACUCAAGGCUGGUGGAGUUCCUGUUGGAGCUACUGCUUAAAGUGAAAGUGCUAGCUUCCCAGUUCUCAUGUCUUUCCUUUUACGUGUUUGUAAGAUAGCGCCUGAAACAUUCAUUUAUUGGAGACUUAGAAUUAACAGGUUGAACUUGUGUUGAAAUUAGAAGGCAAGCAGGAAUGCAUAUUUUGCUCUCUGGUAUGUGUGAUUGAAGUAUGUAGAAUUGGAACUUAAGGGAAGUACAUCCUGUUACAUCUUAAGGUUAGGUGAUCUUAAAUUUUGCCCGAUUAUUGAUUGCUAACUACAUCCUCAUUAAGACUAUUAGAAAUCAUUGUGAAUGGAACAGCUAAAAUUUUUUGAGCACCUUAUGUCUCAGAAGUCUCUGCAGAGUAUAUAACACAUGCUCUGAAAUGAGAGGCAGUCGUAGUGAGUUGUGAGUUCAGUCUUUGUUCUUCAAAGGACAGUUUUCAAAGAGGCAUUGAAAUAAAAGAAGCAUAUAUCUGCUUUGCAAUUAACAAUUUUUCAUUUUCAAGAGAGGAAAUUAAUGAUAAAUUCAGAAGAAUCUGAUUGAACAAUUGUAAAUCCCUAAGGUGGUAGUCUUGGAGUUGCCCAUAUUCCUUUGUCUUCUUUGAACAUGCCAAUUCUCACACUGCUUCAUAGGAUUCUUUCACAAAGAAACAAUGAAUAUAUAUUAUCAGAACCAGCUUUCUUUUCUAUUUCAUCAUGUUCAUAAUCCAGAGAUUAUAUAUCCAUGUCUAGAUUUUGCAUUCAAUGAAAGGUGAGCCUAAAGGUUAAAUUGUUCACCUUGUGACAGAAGCACUCAACAACAAAGCAGGUUACUAAAUAAUAAUGGUAUGCAUUCUCUUGUUUUCAUUCAAGCAUCUUAAAAUUGCACUAAUUGAAACACAUGUAUGCAUAUAUGAAUGCUGGCACACUUUCACCUUCCACAGGCGCUUGAAGGGGCAGAAGCAAAAUGGCGUGGAUCUGUAGGAGGCAUAGUUGAUGCACCUAUAGACAAAGUCUGGACUAUAGUCUCUGAAACUAAAAGACUACUAGAAUGGAUGCCAAUGGUUGAAAGGUGCACUGACUUAGAAGGAGAUGAAGGAGUUCCAGGCUAUGUUCGGUUAGUCUCUGGCUUCAUGUUCCCUCAACAAGAUGGUGAAAGAUCAUGGAUUAAGGAGAGGUUGGUUUCUAUGGACUUCACAUCCCAUAGCUACGCUUACAAAAUGGAAGCAAGCAAUGUAGGCUUAGAUGGAUCCGUAAAUACAUUAAGACUUGUGGAUUAUGGGGAUGAUUCCACACUAGUUAACUGGUCAUUUGAGAUUAACCCUUUAGAAGGUGCAUCUGAGGACAAUCUUAUGGACUAUCUGGGAUUUCUGUAUAAAUCCUGCAUUAAUAGGAUUGAGGGAGCCAUAGAAGCUGCAUCAAAAAAGUUUGAAUAGCAUGGGUAUAUGCCUUAUUGUGUUAGGCUAUUUACGCGCAUAUUUGACAUUACAGUUAAAACUACAAUCAAGAAAAGCACACUCACAUAUAUAAAUAUGUUUUCCGAGGAAUGCAGCCAACUAAGUUGUUGAUCUGUUAAAAGGAAAAUACUUCUAUUUCAG